rnacentral:rRNA from 1 species
GACGAACGCUGGCGGCGUGCUUAACACAUGCAAGUCGAACGGAAAGGCCCUGCUUUUGUGGGGUGCUCGAGUGGCGAACGGGGGAGUAACACGUGAGUAACCUGCCCUUUACUUUGGGAUAAAUUCAGGAAACUGGGGCUAAUACCGGAUAGGAGCUCCUGCUGCAUGGUGGGGGGUGGAAAGUUUCGGCGGUUGGGGAUGGACUCGGGGCUUAUCAGCUUGUUGGUGGGGUAGUGGCUUACCAAGGCUUUGACGGGUAGCCGGCCUGAGAGGGUGACCGGCCACAUUGGGACUGAGAUACGGCCCAGACUCCUACGGGAGGCAGCAGUGGGGAAUAUUGCACAAUGGGCGGAAGCCUGAUGCAGCAACGCCGCGUGCGGGAUGACGGCCUUCGGGUUGUAAACCGCUUUCGCCUGUGACGAAGCGUGAGUGACGGUAAUGGGUAAAGAAGCACCGGCUAACUACGUG